rnacentral:rRNA from 1 species
AACGAACGCUGGCGGCGCGUCUUAAGCAUGCAAGUCGAACGGUAAGAAGGAGCUUGCUUCUUCCUAGAGUGGCGGACUGGUGAGUAACGCGUGGAUGACGUACCCUUUUGACGGGGAUAGCCGAUAGAAAUAUCAGAUAAUACCGGAUAAUCUCUUUUGGGGUAAAGACGAAAGAGGAAAGCAGCUUCGGCUGCGCAGGAGGAACGGUCCGCGUCCUAUCAGCUAGUCGGCAGGGUAAAGGCCUGCCGAGGCGACGACGGGUAUCCGGCCUGAGAGGGUGGACGGACACAUUGGGACUGAGAUACGGCCCAGACUCCUACGGGAGGCAGCAGCUAAGAAUAUUCCGCAAUGGACGAAAGUCUGACGGAGCGACGCCGCGUGGACGAUGAAGGCCGGAAGGUUGUAAAGUCCUUUUAUCCGUGAAGAAGAAGCGUAAGAGGAAAUGCUUGCGUGGUGACGGUAGCGGAUGAAUAACACCGGCUAAUUAAC